AUGCAUCCGAAAAGGUGGCUGAUGAAGAAGAGGCGACAUAUCAGAUUCUUGAUUCUGUGGAGGACUGAGACGGUUGACGAUCCCAAACCCACAGGACCGUCAACAAACAAUGACCAGCAAACAAAGAGAAGUGCAUCUCUCGCCGGAUCACCCAAAGAUGAAGAGGAGGAGGACGAGCCUAUGUAUCAGAUCGUAGAUUCUCUGGAAGAUGAACAAGCUCAAGAGGAGCUGCGGGCCUCAGAGGCGUCCGAGAUAGGGAGGAAGGGAAAAGAGGAAACUCCUGCAAAAGAAGAGGCAUCAGCUGGAAAAGAAGACACACCAACAUGUGGAAGCACAGUUGUGGAAACAUCUGAGAAGGUGGAGGAGCCUCUGUAUCAGAUAGUUGAUGAGUCGCAUGAUGAUCCGUCUGCUGCAGAAGGAUCUGCAGCUCCACCCGAAACAGACCUCAAGAAGGAGGACAAGUCAACUAAACCCCAGAGCCAUACCGUCAUACUUAAAAAGAAGAAACAAAAAUCGUCUGAGAAAGACGAAGCAACGAGCACUCUGGUGAACCUGGACGAAGUGAGCGAGGAGGAGGAGGAUUACCCCGAUGACGCGGCCGAGGAGGAAGAACUGAGGAGGCGACAAGCUGCCGCAAAGGAGAAGCACGAAGUGAGGAGGACCAGGGAGAAGGACGAGAGGAGAACCAGGGAGAGAGACGAGAGAGAGCGAAGGAGCCGGAGCGGCAGCAGCAAAGGAGGAGAGACGAGGAGGGAGAAGGAGCGGGAGAAAGAGGAGACGCUGGAUGUGGACUCCAAGGAGCUGCUGACUCUGGAUGAAGUGGGAGCCGAUGACGCUGAAGAGGAAAGAGCGCUGGAGAGCCGAGAGCGGGCUGAAGAGAUCACGGGGGGAGAGCUGCAGGCACUCGUCACAUUGGACGAGUUCGUAGAAGAAGAGGAAGAUGAGAAGCAAAGCACGCUGAAGACCCGCCCCCCCAGCCAGGAGGACGAAUCAGUGGACUUCUUAAACUCAGAGACUUUGGUGACUUUAGAUGAAGCUGGUGAUGAUGAGGAAGCGAAGCCAGACGAAGAGGAAGCUGAGAAAACCUCAAGAUCCGCCAAACGCAAACACGGUGAUCACACAGAGGAAAUUGUGAACUUUGUGACGGUGGACGAGGUGGGAGAGGACGGAGAGGAGGCGGUGAAGACCAAGACGAAAGGACAAGCCAAGAAGAAAACCAGACUGACUCCUGUGAGAAAAUCCACCAGAGGCAAAAAGUUGACCGCAAAAGACGAGAGAGAAGAAGAAAGGGAACCAGCUGACACUGCUGUGCUGCCUCUAACUUCAGCCGACGCCUCCUCGUCACUGGACAAAGGUCCGUCUACGCUGUCAAGUGACGGCAAGCCGGAGGUCCAUAAGCCGGAGGUCCAGAAGCCGGAGGUCCAGAAGCCGGAGGUCCAGAAGCCGGAGGUCCAGAAACCGGAGGUCCAAGCCGACAGCGGUGCUGCCUCUGCUGGGCAGGAGCUGCAGCCGCUGGAGGGAUGUGUGGAGGAAGGAGAGGAGGAGAAGGAAACACGGAGCAGGGCGGACAUUAAAGUUGGGAGUAAACAGCGGAGGGAGGGUGUCGGACCGGAGGCGAAGCGAUCUCGUUCUCAGUCUCCUAGUGUCGAUGCCGACGUCAAACUGCCGCCAUUCAAACCCAACAACCCCCUGGGUCAGGAGUUCGUGGUCCCCAAGUCUGGUUAUUUCUGUAAUCUGUGCUGCGUUUUCUACGCGAGCGAGAGCAACGCCAGGGAUCUGCACUGCAGCAGCCAGAGACACUACAGCAGCCUGCAGGAACAUUACCAGAAGCUUCAACAGAAACCAAGUUCCUCACAAAGUCAAGGAUCCGUUUCUGAUUGAUCUUCAACUUCUUCGAAAAAUGUGAAACUGUGUAGCUUUACAAACCACUGCAGAGGAAUAAUAAUAUUAAGCCAUGUUGGCAAUAACUAAUUGCUGUAAAUUCUACAUCCACCAUAAUACUCGAUAAAUAUCUGAACAUCGUCCCAACGAUGCAGAACAAACACAGAGAGCAGAGCUUCAUCUUAAAGUCAGUGAACGUUACAUAUUUGGAGGUUUGGCACUUUUAAAAGGUGUUACUACUCAUCCAUAAAUAAUGAAUACAAUAUUUACAGUUUAAACAUAAUUCAUUAGCAUUUUAUUUUCUAGUUUGUGCUAAAUGUGUUGGCUGGUGAUCAUCUUCACUCUGCUCUCAUUUAUGUAAUAAAGCUAUAAUGUGCUAAUAUUUGUAAAGCAGGAGGAGCUGAUACAGUGGGAGCUUAGUCACUUGUUUUUAAAACUGUAUAAAUAAAGUUUUGAAUUGAAUCUUGCACAUGAAGUGUAAUAAGGUUAGAUAAGUGUUAACAUCCACUUUCAUUUAAUCAGCCAUGCAAGGGAACAGUCCCAACACUGUUGGAGGAUUCAGUAAAGAACUAAACUCCAGUUUUUAACUGUUAGACACACACGAGCAAUGUUUCUUAUUGUUUUCUAAUUUGAGAGGUACAUUUUCUUGUGAAUUUAAGUAACUGUCCAAGUCAAUACUAAUUAUAGAGAAUAUGUUAUGUGAUGUGUUUGUUUUCCUUUGAAGAAAUGUAUAUGAAAUGACACCAAAUCCCAGUUUCUGCACAUGUAAAAUGUCAUUUCUAUUGAAUAAUUAAAAUGUUUUCCCCUCAUGCUGCCUCGACAAUCUUUCAAGUAUUGAACACAAUGACUCCGUAGUGUCUCUGGGUGUAGAUGAGGAACUACAAGUACUGACGCACAUGUGGACUAACGAUUGCUAUUAAAACAAUAACAAGUUCAUGUACGUUUUUUUAAAUAAGUAUUUAGUCAGGAAGAAGUUUCUGGCAUUACGGUUUGUUUUCUAGUAGCUAGUGACGCUCCUGGAUGUUGUGAAGAGAACUUUACUGCACCUGAUGUCACGUCGUCAUAACGGUGCAUUGCAUUGUGGUCCACAUGUUUGGAAAAGGGUUAGCUGCAUCGCAAAGUUUCCAAUAUUAAGUAGUAAAUACGGCAAUUAAAUAAAUUAACAUGCCAAUUAAUAUACAAAGCCCGGACCAAGUUACACUCCCAACUCUCUAAUAAACUAUGUGCCCCCAAGAACAUUACGAUCAUCCACUACUGGUUUAUUAAAUGUUCCCAAAACUUCCAAAAGAAAAUCUGGGAUGCAGCCCAAUUAUGCACCAAAACUAUGGAACACUUUACCUGCAGACAUUAGGGAGGCAAGCUCGCUCAAUAUCUUCAAAAGUAAAAACAUAUCUCUUUACUUUAGCCUUUUAAUAGUGAUAUUUUAUAUCUCUUUACUUUAGCCUUUUAAUAGUGAUAUUUUAUAUCUCUUUACUUUAGCCUUUUAAUAGUGAUAUUUUAUAUCUCUUUACUUUAGCCUUUUAAUGGUGAUAUUUUAUAUCUCUUUACUUUAGCCUUUUAAUGGUGAUAUUUUAUAUUUCUUUACUUUAGCCU
rnacentral:lncRNA from 1 species